AUGGCCUUGCCGGCGAUCCCCAACGAGCUCCUAGCGGAUAUCUUCCUCCGCUUUACCACCCCAGAGGACCUCAUCCGCGCCUCGGCCGCCUGCGUCUCCUUCCGUCGCCUCGUCGCCGACCGCGCCUUCCUCCGGCGCUUCCGCAAGCUCCACCCUCCGCCCCUCCUCGGCUUCGUCGACUACAGCGGCUUCCACCCCGCCGAACCGCCUCACCCCUCCGCGCCGGCGGCCAGCGCGUUCGCCAGCGCCGCGGACUUCGACUUCAACUUCCUCCCCGAUGGCGAUACAGACUUGGACUGGACCGUGCGGAAGUCCGCGACGGCCGCAUCCUCCUCGACAGACCCCGCCGUCACGACGACCUCGAACCCCUCUUCAGGGAGAUGGCGGUGUGCGACCCCCUGCACCGGUAGUACCUCCUGCUCCCCCCAAUCCCCAAUCACCUAG
rnacentral:rRNA from 1 species